rnacentral:tRNA from 1 species
GGGAAUGUAGCUUAAUGGUAGAGUGCUUGCUUAGCAUGCAUGAAGCCCUGGGUUCGAUUCCUCAGUACCA